CCUACGGGAGGCAGCAGUAGGGAAUUUUCCGCAAUGGGCGAAAGCCUGACGGAGCAAUACCGCGUGAGGGAAGAAUGCCUACGGGUUGUAAACCUCUUUUUUCAGGGAGGAACAUAAUGACGUGUACCUGAAGAAUAAGCAUCGGCUAACUCCGUGCCAGCAGCCGCGGUAAGACGGAGGAUGCAAGUGUUAUCCGGAAUCACUGGGCGUAAAGCGUCUGUAGGUGGUUUAAUAAGUCAACUGUUAAAUCUUGAGGCUCAACCUCAAAAUCGCAGUCGAAACUAUUAGACUAGAGUAUAGUAGGGGUAAAGGGAAUUUCCAGUGGAGCGGUGAAAUGCGUAGAGAUUGGAAAGAACACCGAUGGCGAAAGCACUUUACUAGGCUAUUACUGACACUCAGAGACGAAAGCUAGGGCAGCAAAUGGGAUUAGAUACCCCAGUAGUCCUAGCUGUAAACUAUGGAUACUAGAUGUUGAACAGAUCGACCUGUGCAGUAUCAAAGCUAACGCGUUAAGUAUCCGCCUGGAAGUAUGCUCGCAAGGUGAACUUAAUGAAUUGACGGCUGAGAGNGCGAGACGACGACGAGGAGAG
rnacentral:rRNA from 1 species